CCUCUCGUAGUCUAAUGGAUAAGAUACUUCCCUCCGAAGGAGGCGAUGCAGGUUCGAUUCCUGCCGAGAGGA
rfam:Candidatus Adlerbacteria bacterium RIFCSPHIGHO2_02_FTLL_52_17 rifcsphigho2_02_scaffold_32319, whole genome shotgun sequence.